rnacentral:rRNA from 1 species
ACGCUAGCUACAGGCUUAACACAUGCAAGUCGAGGGGAAACGGCAUUGAGUGCUUGCACUCUUUGGACGUCGACCGGCGCACGGGUGAGUAACGCGUAUCCAACCUUCCCAUUAUUGUGGGAUAACCUGCCGAAAGGCAGACUAAUACCGCAUAGUCUUCGAUGACGGCAUCAGAUUUGAAGUAAAGAUUUAUCGGUAAUGGAUGGGGAUGCGUCUGAUUAGCUUGUUGGCGGGGUAACGGCCCACCAAGGCGACGAUCAGUAGGGGUUCUGAGAGGAAGGUCCCCCACAUUGGAACUGAGACACGGUCCAAACUCCUACGGGAGGCAGCAGUGAGGAAUAUUGGUCAAUGGACGGAAGUCUGAACCAGCCAAGUAGCGUGCAGGAUGACGGCCCUAUGGGUUGUAAACUGCUUUUGUAUGGGGAUAAAGUUAGGGACGUGUCCCUAUUUGCAGGUACCAUACGAAUAAGGACCGGCUAAUUCCGUGCCAGCAGCCGCGGUAAUACGGAAGGUCCAGGCGUUAUCCGGAUUUAUUGGGUUUAAAGGGAGCGUAGGCUGGAGAUUAAGUGUGUUGUGAAAUGUAGACGCUCAACGUCUGAAUUGCAGCGCAUACUGGUUUCCUUGAGUACGCACAACGUUGGCGGAAUUCGUCGUGUAGCGGUGAAAUGCUUAGAUAUGACGAAGAACUCCGAUUGCGAAGGCAGCUGACGGGAGCGCAACUGACGCUUAAGCUCGAAGGUGCGGGUAUCAAACAGGAUUAGAUACCCUGGUAGUCCGCACAGUAAACGAUGGAUGCCCGCUGUUGGUACCUGGUAUCAGCGGCUAAGCGAAAGCAUUAAGCAUCCCACCUGGGGAGUACGCCGGCAACGGUGAAACUCAAAGGAAUUGACGGGGGCCCGCACAAGCGG